CCAUAAUAUGUACAAUUAGUGUGCAAGGUAUUGAGGUAAAAGUCUUUAACCAACAUCUAAUAGAUACUUUUACAAGUUCUUAAUGGUUCUACAAAUAGCAAGAAAAAGCUCCAGGCAGUUGAAUUUACCAUGUAAUGCUGAGCUCAUCUAAGUGAAACCUUCAAUAACUAUUGUUCCUCUCUAUGAGGUUUGGUAUAUGGGCCAUCAAUUCAAUUUGGAAUUAAAAUGCAAAUAAAAUAUCUCUAAGUAAAACAUCCAGUCACAAUGAAAGGCCAAAAUCCAAGUCUAGUGUAUGUGAAGAUGACUAACAUUUUUAUUUGUUGACAAACUGGUCAAUGAUUCAUAUACAAAUAUAUGUAUCCAUACAAAUACAGUGUCAAUAAAUUAUGAUUGCUGUGAUACACAGAAACAAUCAAUCAAUCAUACUGCUGAAACAAACAACUAUACUAAACAUCAAAUGGAUAGAUUUAUGAAUAUAUAUACACAGUUUAAAAACUAUCCCUUUGUCCUAAAUUGUCAGUGAUAUUUAUUUCCUCCAAGAAGGUGCAGCAAACAUAAGUUGGCAAAACAUCUUGACAAAGUUUUACAAAUCUUUGCAUUCUAAAAAUUGUAUUCCUUGUGAAAUGUACAAUUUAAUUGAAGAGCUUGCAUGUAAUUAAGGAAAGAUUUUUCUCAUCAUUUGAUCAGAGUGCAGAAAUACACAAUUUAUGUACAAACAAAUUUAAUGUUGGUAUACUAAGAAAUGAAAUGUAAAGUACAUUUCACAUGUUUUUGUUAUUAAGAAAGACCACUGCACCAUAACCAACAUUUUUUUUUUAAAAUCACAUAUUGAGGCUUCUUCAAUUUAACUAAUAUAACAAAAGAUUUGACAAUUUUUCAAAUUAUCUUGUAUAAUGUAUUUUAGAUUGAAAAAAUUUGGUUACUAAUUGUCU